AAUCAACGCUGGCGGCGUGCCUCAGACAUGCAAGUCGAACGAUUAAAGCUCUCUUCGGAGAGUGCAUAGAGUGGCGCACGGGUGAGUAACACGUAAGUAAUCUACCUUUGAGUGGGGAAGUAACACCGAGAAAUCGGUGCUAAUACCGCAUAAUGCAGCGGCAUCGCAAGAUGACAGUUGUUAAAGAUUAUCGCUUGAAGAGGAGCUUGCGGCAGAUUAGCUAGUUGGUAAGGUAAUGGCUUACCAAGGCUACGAUCUGUAACCGGUCUAAGAGAACGGUCGGUCACACUGACACUGAAUAACGGGUCAGACUCCUACGGAGGCAGCAGUCGGGAAUUUUGGGUCGAAUGGGCGAAAGCCUGACCCACGCAACGCCGCGUGAAGGAUGAAGUAUUU
rnacentral:rRNA from 1 species